rnacentral:rRNA from 1 species
UUCGGGGAAAGUUGAGACGAGGUGGUGCAUGGUUGUCGUCAGCUCGUGUCGUGAGAUGUUGGGUUAAGUCCCGCAACGAGCGCAACCCUUAUUGCUAGUUGCUACGCAAGAGCACUCUAGCGAGACUGCCGUUGACAAAACGGAGGAAGGUGGGGACGACGUCAAAUCAUCAUGCCCCUUAUAUCCUGGGCUACACGCGUAAUACAAUGGCAUUAAACAGAGGGAAGCGAAGGAGCGAUCCGGAGCAAAUCCCUAAAAGGUGUCUCAGUUCGGAUUGCAGGCUGCAACUCGCCUGCAUGAAGUCGGAAUUGCUAGUAAUCGCGGAUCAGCACGCCCGCGGUCGAAUACGUUCCCGGGCCUU